AACGCACGAGACCUGCGGACCUGCGGAGGGAUCAUUAAUGAGAAGCUGCCCCUCGUGGGUAGACCUCCCACCCUCUGUGAACUUACCUUUGUUGCUUCGGCAGGCCCGUCCUCUGGACCGCCGGCUUCGGCUGGCCCGUGCCUGCCAGAGGAUUCCAAACCCUGUCUGUCAGUGUUGUCUGAGUCUAUAUGAAAUCGUUAAAACUUUCAACAACGGAUCUCUAGAUCGGAAGAGCACACG
rnacentral:misc_RNA from 1 species